rnacentral:lncRNA from 1 species
GUGGUGUGGAGUGUUGACAGUCCGAUUGUGCCGGUCUCGCUGGAUUUCAUAUUUUUAUUGAACACCGUGCUGCACAAAGGGAUUAAAGAGUGUCACUCUCACAGCACAGCUAAGAACACGGACAACAGGCAUGUCUGUGAGGAGUGAGGGCUCACUGUGAGCUCAAGAUGGGGGCCUCUGAUACAAAACGAUUUGUGGUUAGAACAGGAAUUUCAGGGUUCUUGUGGCCUGGGGUCUGUGGAAC